rnacentral:rRNA from 1 species
GUGGGGAAUAUUGGACAAUGGGGGAAACCCUGAUCCAGCGACGCCGCGUGGGUGAAGAAGGCCUGCGGGUUGUAAAGCCCUUUCGGUAGGGACGAAAACUCUUGCUCUAACAGAGCAGGAGCUUGACUUAACCUACAUAAGAAGCACCGGCUAACUCUGUGCCAGCAGCCGCGGUAAUACAGAGGGUGCGAGCGUUAAUCGGAAUUACUGGGCGUAAAGCGCACGUAGGCGGCUUUGCAAGUCGGGUGUGAAAUCCCCGGGCUCAACCUGGGAACUGCAUCCGAGACUGCAUUGCUAGAGUAUGGGAGAGGGAAGUGGAAUUUCCGGUGUAGCGGUGAAAUGCGUAGAUAUCGGAAGGAACAUCAGUGGCGAAGGCGACUUCCUGGACCAAUACUGACGCUCAGGUGCGAAAGCGUGGGGAGCAAACAGGAUUAGAAACCCGGGUAGUCC